ACCAAAUAGCGUUUAAACCAAGUAAACAGUAGAGAAUGACAAAAUAACGAUCCACAUAACCGAACAUAAACCUGACAGUAAGAUUGUUAGGCUAUUGUUAGCCUGUAUGUAUAACAGUUUCCCUAGUUGUAAUACUGAU